rnacentral:lncRNA from 1 species
GAGAGAUUUGGUCUGAAUUCUUGUAUUCUCUGAUUGUGAGGUUUGUUCAGUCACCUCUUGGGACCUGCUGUGCCCUGAUUAUGAAGUGAUACUCGCUUGUCAGCACCAAGAAAUGGAAGAGGGAAGUAUUGCCCCCUCUUCAACUUCCCAGAAAACGAAACAAUAUUCAUAACUGUACUUCCAAGAACCAUCAAGAGUAUCUGAAUUCGUUACUUACACAGCAAGAAAACAAAAGAAGUCUAGAGGAAAUGAUCCAGGGAUGAAAUAGUGGUUCCACAAAGCCAUUGGACACUGGGCUCCUUCUAGCUUUCUACUCCAUUAUCCCUGGCUGGUGGCUUCCAUCCUGAAGGUCACCUCAUGGUUCGAGAUGGCUUUCUUAGCUCUAGCCAUCCCCUCUUCAUCUCAAGCAGUAGGAAGGUGAAAGGAGGAAAGGACAAAGGUUCGGCCUUUCACCUGGAUCUAUUCUCCUUAAGCAGUCUUCUUAUCCCACCAGUCCCUCAGUACAAGCUCGGUGCCUUCCUCCUGCAAUUGCCUUCCCAGAUCUAUCCAGUCCAGAGUAAAAUCUCCCUCCCUGAAACCCAGCACUGAAGAUACGUACUGUUCUUGAAGCUAUUAGGAGUUUGGACUCCGAUGCCUAUAACCAUGCGAUCCUGGAAAUGUCCAGGAUACAAUCCAAAAUUAAUCAGCAUACAAAGAACCAGGAAAAUCUUAACCUACAAGAGAAACGACAGUCAACAGACACCAACCCUGAGAAGACACAAAUGUUGUAACUAGGAGACAAAGACUUUUAAACAGCUAUUAGAACCAUGCUCAAAGAAGUAAAGAUGAGUAUUCUUGAAACAAAUGGAAAGACUGAAAGUCUCAGUAAAGAGAUAGAAGAUAUAAAGAAGAACC